GACGAACGCUGGCGGCGUGCCUAAUACAUGCAAGUAGAACGCUGAAGGAGGAGCUUGCUUCUCUGGAUGAGUUGCGAACGGGUGAGUAACGCGUAGGUAACCUGCCUGGUAGCGGGGGAUAACUAUUGGAAACGAUAGCUAAUACCGCAUAAUAGUAGAUGUUGCAUGACAUUUGCUUAAAAGGUGCAAUUGCAUCACUACCAGAUGGACCUGCGUUGUAUUAGCUAGUUGGUGGGGUAACGGCUCACCAAGGCGACGAUACAUAGCCGACCUGAGAGGGUGAUCGGCCACACUGGGACUGAGACACGGCCCAGACUCCUACAGGAGGCAGCAGUAGGGAAUCUUCGGCAAUGGACGGAAGUCUGACCGAGCAACGCCGCGUGAGUGAAGAAGGUUUUCGGAUCGUAAAGCUCUGUUGUAAGAGAAGAACGAGUGUGAGAGUGGAAAGUUCACACUGUGACGGUAUCUUACCAGAAAGGGACGGCUAACUACGUG
rnacentral:rRNA from 1 species